AAAAUGCUCAUGUAAAUUGAUGGAAAACUGUUGGAGAAUAACAUUCAUUUUAUUAGGUUUGCUCUCAGCAACACUUAAAUACGUUAAAAUGUAAUAGAGAUGGUUAAAUAGAAUAAAAUUGUGUCGGUAUUAGACAAGGUGAGCAUUUGAAUAUUUGUACUUGAAAUAUUUUGAUUUUAAAUGUUAAAUGAAUUUUAAUUCUAAUUUACGGAUGUCUGUGAAAUUUCCAACAAAAUAUUGUCUAUAAACUGUGAAGAAUAAAUUGUAAUACGCACAAUAAGAAAUGAAAAUUGAAAUGAUAAAAUGUAAUGCUCACAAUAAGAAAGGAAAAUUGAAAUGUUAAAUUGUAAUUCACCCAAUAAGAAAUGAAUCCACAAUCAAUUCUCCUAGCACAGUUGUUGAAAGAAAAACUGAAAAUUGAAAUACAUCAGGACAUAAAACGAAACAACUGACCAUUUCUUCAUCAGUGUUUUUUCUUGAAGUAUGAGAGCUUCAUAGAAUAUUCUUUAAAAUAUUAUAUUCUAGAAAUUACUACGGACCUUAAGAAGAAUGAACUGUAAUGCGCACUAAAAGAAAUUAAUUCGUUACAAAUAGCUCCACCAGCACAGUUGCCGAAACCAAAACUAAAAGUUUAAGAGCCAAUUUUUUUAAACAUCGGGCAAAUCAGGUAAUGUAUGGUCCCUACAGCUGAAAGCUUGCACUGAGUGAUUUUUCAUCGUUUCCGAUAGUUGAAAUAUCAUUUUGAAUGCAAUCACUACAGCGAUGACCAAUACGUGAAAACGUCCGUGACUACUUGGUAAACGGAGCAGGAGGCAAAUGCUAUCUGACUUAUUCACGCAGAAGUGAGAAAUGAAAACAUGAAUGACACAAUUCAAUGUUGACUUCUUCGCAAGAAAGAAUCCUUACCAAAAAUGUAAAAACUUUAUAUGUAUUACAAAAAAAGAAAGAAAAAAAGCAUAAAACUUUUAUUCUAUUAAAAUUUACAACUAUCCAUAAAUAUUUACUUUUGUCUACAUUAAUACCACAAAUUAUACCAAAAUAAAAUUUCAGUGCCGUCA